rnacentral:rRNA from 1 species
CCACGAGCAGGUUGAAGGUUAGGUAACACUGACUGGAGGACCGAACCCACUGUCGUUGAAAAGCCAGGGGAUGACUUGUGGAUAGGAGUGAAAGGCUAAUCAAACUCGGAGAUAGCUGGUUCUCCUCGAAAGCUAUUUAGGUAGCGCCUCGUGUAUCACCCUAGGGGGUAGAGCACUGUUUGGGCUAGGGGGUCAUCCCGACUUACCAACCCCAUGCAAACUCCGAAUACCUAGGAGUGCGAGCACGGGAGACACACGGCGGGUGCUAACGUCCGUCGUGGAGAGGGCAACAACCCAGACCGCCAGCUAAGGUCCCAAAUUCAUAGUUAAGUGGGAAACGAUGUGGGAAGGCUUAGACAGCUAGGAGGUUGGCUUAGAAGCAGCCACCCUUUAAAGAAAGCGUAAUAGCUCACUAGUCGAGUCGGCCUGCGCGGAAGAUUUAACGGGGCUCAAACUAUGAACCGAAGCUGCGGAUAUAGAUUUAUCUAUAUGGUAGAGGAGCGUUCUGUACGCUGUUGAAGGUGAAUCGAGAGGUUUGCUGGAGGUAUCAGAAGUGCGAAUGCUGACAUGAGUAACGAUAAGGGGGGUGAAAAACCUCCCCGCCGGAAGACCAAGGGUUCCUGCGCAACGCUAAUCGGCGCAGGGUGAGUCGGCCCCUAAGGCGAGGCUGAGAAGCGUAGUCGAUGGGAAACAGGUUAAUAUUCCUGUACUUCUUUAUAUUGCGAUGGAGAGACGGAGAAAGCUAGGCCAGCAUGGCGAUGGUUGUCCAUGUUUAAGGUUGUAGGCUGGGGACUUAGGCAAAUCCGGGUCCCUAAGGCUGAGAACUGAUGACGAGAUCCUACGGGAUUGAAGUGGUUGAUGCUCUGCUUCCAGGAAAAACUUCUAAGCUUCAGAUAUAAAGGAACCGUACCCCAAACCGACACAGGUGGUCAGGUAGAGAAUACCAAGGCGCUUGAGAGAACUCGGGUGAAGGAACUAGGCAAAAUGGUACCGUAACUUCGGGAGAAGGUACGCUGCUGCCGGUGAUGGGACUUGCUCCCUAAGCUAGCGGCAGUCGAAGAUACCAGUUAGCUGCGACUGUUUAUUAAAAACACAGCACUCUGCAAACUCGAAAGAGGACGUAUAGGGUGUGACACCUGCCCGGUGCCGGAAGGUUAAUUGAUGGGGUUAGCGUAUGCGAAGCUCUUGAUCGAAGCCCCGGUAAACGGCGGCCGUAACUAUAACGGUCCUAAGGUAGCGAAAUUCCUUGUCGGGUAAGUUCCGACCUGCACGAAUGGUGUAACGAUGGCUAAGCUGUCUCCACCCGAGACUCAGUGAAAUUGAAAUCGCUGUUAAGAUGCAGCGUAUCCGCGGCUAGACGGAAAGACCCCGUGAACCUUUACUACAGCUUCACAGUGAACUUUGAGCCUAUUUGUGUAGGAUAGGUGGGAGGCUUUGAAACAUGCACGCCAGUGUGUGUGGAGCCAUCCUUGAAAUACCACCCUGGUAUGUUUGAGGUUCUAACUCUGGUCCCUUAUCGGGAUCGAGGACACUGUGUGGUGGGUAGUUUGACUGGGGCGGUCUCCUCCCAAAGAGUAACGGAGGAGCACGAAGGUGCGCUAAGCAUGGUCGGACAUCAUGCGGUUAGUGUAAUGGCAUAAGCGCGCUUAACUGCGAGACAGACACGUCGAGCAGGUACGAAAGUAGGUCAUAGUGAUCCGGUGGUUCUGUAUGGAAGGGCCAUCGCUCAACGGAUAAAAGGUACUCCGGGGAUAACAGGCUGAUACCGCCCAAGAGUUCACAUCGACGGCGGUGUUUGGCACCUCGAUGUCGGCUCAUCACAUCCUGGGGCUGAAGCCGGUCCCAAGGGUAUGGCUGUUCGCCAUUUAAAGUGGUACGCGAGCUGGGUUUAGAACGUCGUGAGACAGUUCGGUCCCUAUCUGCCGUGGACGUUGGAAAAUUGAGAAGAGCUGCUCCUAGUACGAGAGGACCGGAGUGGACGAACCUCUGGUGUUCGGGUUGUGUCGCCAGACGCAUUGCCCGGUAGCUAUGUUCGGACAGGAUAACCGCUGAAAGCAUCUAAGCGGGAAGCCCCCUUCAAGAUAAGUUUUCCCUGAUUCCUUGAGAAUCCUAAAGGGCCCUUAAAGACUAUGAGGUUGAUAGGCAGGGUGUGUAAGCGUUGUGAGGCGUUGAGCUAACCUGUACUAAUUGCCCGU